rnacentral:rRNA from 1 species
UACGGGAGGCAGCAGUGGGGAAUAUUGCACAAUGGGCGCAAGCCUGAUGCAGCCAUGCCGCGUGUAUGAAGAAGGCCUUCGGGUUGUAAAGUACUUUCAGCGGGGAGGAAGGGAGUAAAGUUAAUACCUUUGCUCAUUGACGUUACCCGCAGAAGAAGCACCGGCUAACUCCGUGCCAGCAGCCGCGGUAAUACGGAGGGUGCAAGCGUUAAUCGGAAUUACUGGGCGUAAAGCGCACGCAGGCGGUUUUGUUAAGUCAGAUGUGAAAUCCCCGGGCUCAACCUGGGAACUGCAUCUGAUACUGGCAAGCUUGAGUCUCGUAGAGGGGGUAGAAUUCCAGGUGUAGCGGUGAAAUGCGUAGAGAUCUGGAGGAAUACCGGUGGCGAAGGCGGCCCCUGGGACGAAGACUGACGCUCAGGUGCGAAAGCGUGGGGAGCAAACGAGGAUUAGAUACC